AUUGAACGCUGGCGGCAUGCUUUACACAUGCAAGUCGAACGGCAGCGCGGGGCAACCUGGCGGCGAGUGGCGAACGGGUGAGUAAUAUAUCGGAACGUACCCAAGAGUGGGGGAUAACGUAGCGAAAGUUACGCUAAUACCGCAUACGAUCUAUGGAUGAAAGUGGGGGAUUCGCAAGAACCUCAUGCUCCUGGAGCGGCCGAUAUCUGAUUAGCUAGUUGGUGAGGUAAAGGCUCACCAAGGCGACGAUCAGUAGCUGGUCUGAGAGGACGACCAGCCACACUGGAACUGAGACACGGUCCAGACUCCUACGGGAGGCAGCAGUGGGGAAUUUUGGACAAUGGGCGCAAGCCUGAUCCAGCAAUGCCGCGUGAGUGAAGAAGGCCUUCGGGUUGUAAAGCUCUUUUGUCAGGGAAGAAACGGUCGGAGCU
rnacentral:rRNA from 1 species